UGAACGCUGGCGGUAUGCCUAACGCAUGCAAGUCGUACGAGAGUUUUUAACUCUAGUGGCGGACGGGUGAGUAACACGUGAGAACCUACCCUAAGGAGGGGAAUAACAGCUGGAAACGGUUGCUAAUACCCCAUAUGCCGAGAGGUGAAAGGAUGUAUCCACCUUAGGAAGGGCUCGCGCCUGAUUAGCUAGUUGGUGAGGUAAUAGCUCACCAAGGCCAUGAUCAGUAGCUGGUUUGAGAGGACGAUCAGCCACACUGGGACUGAGACACGGCCCAGACUCCUACGGGAGGCAGCAGUGGGGAAUUUUCCGCAAUGGGCGAAAGCCUGACGGAGCAAUACCGCGUGAGGGAUGACGGCCUGUGGGUUGUAAACCUCUUUUCUCAAGGAAGAAGUUCUGACGGUACUUGAGGAAUAAGCAUCGGCUAACUCUGUGCCAGCAG
rnacentral:rRNA from 1 species